rnacentral:rRNA from 1 species
UACGGAGGGAGCUAGCGUUGUUCGGAAUUACUGGGCGUAAAGCGCACGUAGGCGGCUUUGUAAGUUAGAGGUGAAAGCCCGGGGCUCAACCCCGGAAUUGCCUUUAAGACUGCAUCGCUUGAAUCCAGGAGAGGUGAGUGGAAUUCCGAGUGUAGAGGUGAAAUUCGUAGAUAUUCGGAAGAACACCAGUGGCGAAGGCGGCUCACUGGACUGGUAUGACGCUGAGGUGCGAAAGCGUGGGGAGCAAACAGG